AUGUCCACCCCAGCCCGGCGGCGGCUGAUGCGCGACUUCAAGAGAUUGCAAGAGGACCCUCCUGUGGGUGUCAGUGGUGCACCAUCCGAGAAUAAUAUAAUGCAGUGGAAUGCAGUUAUAUUUGGGCCAGAAGGGACACCUUUUGAAGAUGGUACUUUUAAACUAGUAAUAGAAUUCGCCGAAGAAUAUCCACAUAAACCUCCAACUGUUAGGUUUCUAUCAAAAAUGUUCCAUCCAAAUGUGUAUGCGGAUGGCAGCAUAUGUUUAGAUAUUCUUCAGAACCGCUGGAGUCCAACAUAUGAUGUUUCAUCUAUUUUAACUUCAAUUCAGUCUCUGCUUGAUGAACCCAAUCCAAACAGUCCAGCAAACAGUCAGGCAGCACAGCUUUACCAGGAGAACAAAUGUGAAUAUGAGAAAAGAGUUUCAGCUAUUGUGGAACAAAGUUGAAAUGAUUCGUAACAGCUGCUGUGUUACUCUCCAUCCUCAUAAUCCUUGUGUACAAUUUAACUCUCAGUAGAAAGGCU